GUCGAGGAACAAUGGCAUCGGUGUUUGAGGCAACGAGAAUUGAUUGCGAUAUUUUCAGCCGCUGUAUCGAUCGGUAAUCGGCGUUUCAUUGCAGACACAGUUACAGAUAUUUCCAUCGGCAUUGUAUCCGUGCAGUAGAGGCACAUACCAAAAAAUGAAACAUUUGAAAUGUUCCGAAGAGGCAGAAAUAACAUAAUUUCUACAAUCCUAAGAUGAUAGGCCGAAAGCGAUAGACGCAAUGGGAAAGACCACGAACCAUCUGUUACAUCGGAGUUGUCCUUCUUUGGUGACAUAAACCAAUCUAGAAUUCAUUUUUUUACAUUAACUGAUCAACAGGUUCUAAAAUUACCUUAUCUUGUAUGAUUUCUGGUGAUGGCUCCACAGAAUUAUUGAUGUUUGCUGUCUAACAACAUAGAACCUGUUCAUACCUGCCUAAAGAUGGCGCUGGAGUGUAAUCGAUCACAGAAGAAGAUGGGAUUAUUCCUAGUUACAAUGAUUGUUAUUGAAGUUUACUUUAUAUUUCUGAUGACAGGACGAGAACACCGUUCAGCUCUGAUGGAGGCUUUUCUGAAAAAAGAAGUCGAAAACCGAAUGAUUACACCAAUAACGGGAUGAAUGACCACGCGACCAAAUAGCAGGAUGUGACGUCACAACAGUUAUGUGUAAAGUGCACACUUUAUUUAUCUAAUUAACAUUGAUAUGUUUUGAUAAGGUUACCUGCAGUCUGAUAUUUGCUCCGAUACCAAGUUUGAAGAUUAAUGUGUACGUUUCUUUUAGUAUAAACAAGGGCAUUUACGUAUGUUAAUAUUUAUUCAUUUUGUACUUUUAUAUUAUACGGUAAAAUGACUGAACUCAAACUAUAAUUAAGAUAGUUUGUGAUAAAUAAGCAUGCAAAGAACAUCCCUGUCUAAGAUGAUUCCAUAUUUUUUCGACUUAACGCUACUGAAGAUUUUUUGGUAUUGCUACAACACUGCCGGGGAAUCCCGAACUACAUUAUGUAUUAUUAUUGCUCAAAUCGACCUAUACGAAAACUCCACCUAGGUUGUUAAUUGAUGUUCCACACAUUAUUUGCCAUCGUCAAAAUGUCAAAAAAAAAGACAAAUCAAAAUAUAUGAAGUUGUUAUCUUACUAUGUAUGCUCAACAUCAACUAGAAAUUAUGUAGAUAAACAAUGUUGACGAUGUAUGAAUAUGUGUACUCAAGACCGAUUUCACUUAUAAUAAAAAUAAGAAAACUUGA